CCUACGGGAGGCAGCAGUGGGGAAUAUUGGGCAAUGGAGGCAACUCUGACCCAGCAACGCCGCGUGAAUGAUGAAGGUCUUCGGAUUGUAAAGUUCUGUGAUGGGGGAUGAACACAAUGACGGUACCCCAAUAGCAAGCCACGGCUAACUACGUGCCAGCAGCUGCAGUAAUACGUAGGGGGCAAGCGUUAUCCGGAAUGUCUGGGCGUACAGGAUGCGUAGGUGGUUUAGUAAGUUGGCUGGGUAAUUCCGGUGAUCAACCGCGGCGCUACCGCCAAAACUAUUAGACUAGAGUGCAGGAGAGGUAAGUGGAAGGACUGGGGUAGCGGUGAAAUGCGUAGAUAUUAGGAAGAACAUCAGUGGGGAAGGCGACUUACUGGACUGUAACUGACACUGAGGCACGAAAGCGUGGGGAGCAAACAGGAUUAGAUACCCGAGGAGUC
rnacentral:rRNA from 1 species